rnacentral:tRNA from 1 species
GGGCCCGUAGCUCAAUUGGUCAGAGCGGCUGACUCAUAAUCAGCUGGUUGGUGGAUCGAGGCCACCCGGGCCCACCC